AACGAACGCUGGCGGCAUGCCUAACACAUGCAAGUCGAACGAGACCUUCGGGUCUAGUGGCGCACGGGUGCGUAACGCGUGGGAACCUGCCCUUAGGUUUGGAAUAACUCCCCGAAAGGGGUGCUAAUACCGGAUAAUGUCUUCGGCCCAAAGAUUUAUCGCCUUUGGAUGGGCCCGCGUUGGAUUAGCUAGUUGGUAGGGUAAAAGCCUACCAAGGCGACGAUCCAUAGCUGGUCUGAGAGGAUGAUCAGCCACACUGGGACUGAGACACGGCCCAGACUCCUACGGGAGGCAGCAGUGGGGAAUAUUGGACAAUGGGCGAAAGCCUGAUCCAGCAAUGCCGCGUGAGUGAUGAAGGCCUUAGGGUUGUAAAGCUCUUUUACCCGGGAUGAUAAUGACAGUACCGGGAGAAUAAGCUCCGGCUAACUCCGUG
rnacentral:rRNA from 1 species